rnacentral:rRNA from 1 species
AGCGUAAAUACGGUGGUAAAUUCCAUCUAAAGCUAAACACUAGUGGGAGACCGAUAGCGCACAAGUACCGUGAGGGAAAGAUGCAAAGCCGCGCGAAAGCGCUGUUAAAGAGUACCUGAACUUGCUGAGAAGGAAGCAAAAGAAAUCAGUGGAAGCUGUGCUACAAUUC